ensembl:lncRNA
CCAUCGAUCUCUGGUAUCUCCUGUGUUCCCGUCAAGCUCGCUGGACAGUUCCCUCUCCUGUAAAAGAAAAAGGGACAAGCAUUAGUAAUCCGUGAUUGUGUGGCAUUGAACUCUUGUCUAUGGACGUACUCACCUGCAUUCCGCCUCUCACUGAGUGAUCUGCACAGAAUCCGCACCUGAAAUCACCUUCUACUCAGCGUGCACUUAUUCUUGAGAAAAAUAAACAUUGUGUUGAAUUCACUUACCUCUGCCUCCAGUGACUAUCCUGACAGAAGGCUUGACGCAAACCGCUAUGAAUCCGGCACAGCGCAAAGACAGUGCUUCCGCAAACCCCGCUCCCAUGCUGGUGUAUGUCAUGAACACCGUCUCUCGACCAGCGCCCUUCUCUGGCCGGGUGGAGCAUUGCAAUAGGUUUCUGCUACAAUGUUCACUCGCUCUCCAACAACACCCUCACCAAUAUCCUAUGGAAAGAUCCAAGAUUUAAUUUAUCAUCCUGCAGUUAUCCGGGGCCGCGUUAAGAUGGGCUGAAACGCUAUGGUUUCAAGAGACUGCGAUCACCUCUUCAUUACAAAGUUUCAUUAGCCAUUUUAAGGAAGUGUUUGGGGAUCCUGUAGAUGACUCUUCUGACACUGACCAACAAAUACAUCAAGAGCCUCCGGUCCCGUCCAUAGAUCUUCCUCCGAUAUCUCCCCAGUUAAGCCCAGGAUGGGCUCCUGGGCCCCAGUUAAGCCCAGAAGUGGCACCCAAUCUCCCGUCAUGCCCAGAAGUGGCUCCCGAUCUCCCGUCAUGCCCAGAAGUGGCUCCUGAACCCCAGUUAAGCCCAGGGAGGGCUUCUGAACCCCCAUUAGGCCCCGAAGAGGCUCCUGAUCUCCCGUUAGGCCCAGAAGAGGCUUCCCUUUCACCAGCUCAGGAUUGCGCGGAGUCCCCUGCUUCACUUUGGCCCUCCAGACCCAAGUCUCCACCUCGGCCUGUCAGCCCGCCGGCUCCGUGCCGGCUCUGCAUCCCUUUGGCUCCACCGAGGCCCGUCUGCCCAAGGACUCCUCCGGGCUCCCUCGUCCAUCCAGACAAACCUCGGUCGGUCGUCGCUCAGCUUCCGCCACGGACUUCUGGGUCUCCAGCUUCGCCUCGACCCUCCACCCCUUUGGCUUCACCAGGCUCCUCCCUUCCUCUGGUUUCCCUUUCAUCCUCGCUUGCCCCAUCGUCGUCCUGGUCAGCCGAAUCCUUGGCUCCGCCUCAGGCAUGCGAGCCAGCCGCUCCGCCUUGGGCUUCCAGGCCUGCGAUGUCGAACUGGUCCGUCGAGCUCUCCGCUCCGCUGGUUCCGCCAUGCACCCUGGUUCCGCCUCCGUGGAUCGGCCUCGGGGUGUCGCCCAGUCCUCCUGUCAAAGCCCCCCCUUGUUCCUCCCACUGUCAGCUCCACCAUGGUAUCGACCUCCU